UGGGGAAUAUUGCGCAAUGGACGAAAGUCUGACGCAGCGACGCCGCGUGUGGGAGGAAGCUCUUCGGGGUGUAAACCACUGUCAGGAGGGAGGAAAGGCGCUGACUCGAACAGGGUCUAGCGAUUGACGGUACCUCCAAAGGGAGCGCCGGCUAACUCCGUGCCAGCAGCCGCGGUAAGACGGAGGUCGCAAGCGUUGUUCGGAAUUACUGGGCGUAAAGCGCGGGCAGGCGGUCUGUUAAGUCGUUUGUGAAAACCCCGGGGCUCAACCCCGGGAAUGCAUACGAUACUGGCAGGCUGGAGACUGGUAGAGGCUAGCGGAAUUCCUGGUGUAGCGGUGGAAUGCGUAGAUAUCAGGAAGAACACCUGUGGCGAAGGCGGCUAGCUGGGCCAGUUCUGACGCUCAUCCGCGAAAGCGUGGGGAGCAAACAGGAUUAGAUACCC
rnacentral:rRNA from 1 species